UUAUACAACUGCCACUCGGAUUCCACCGGUGUGUAGGCGGGGAAAGAGGAGGAGUAAAGACUGUUUACCAACCAAGUACACAGCAGCCCUAUCUAAGAACCAGGAAUUGAGGGGUCCCUAGCUUUGAAUCAGGGGUGCACUGGUUCUCUGGGAUCCGCCUCAAGACUUUUCCGCCUAUCUAGGCGAUAACCUCUCAAAAAUCGGAGCCAGUCUAGCGUCCAGGCCCAGGUUUGAGGCCAUGAUGACUCAACGCAGCAUCCCCUCCCGGUCUCCGCCUACCCUCAAUCAAUCUCAGCCAGGCACUUUGGGCUUCAGGAUUCCCAGUACUUAGUUGGUGGGUAAAGGGGCUCAUCCCCUUUCCCGCAUUCCAGCAGGCUGAACCUCCCUUCCUCCCAGUCUUGUGGAGUGCAGGACCUCCCGCCGGGAUCCUGCUCUUGGAAGGUUUAGAAGGAUGUAAUCUCCAGACCUGGAAUUUAAGACGCAAGAACCAGCCAGCAAAUGUGGCAGCCUGACUCUCGACCAAGACCCAAAUUCAUUCACCUGCCGAGCGUCUGGUGAAGCCCCUGCCCUGAGCCUGGUGACUGGUGCUUCCGCUAGAGGCCCAGGUCAAGGCAGCCGCAAGACCUUCAAGAUAUCCAGGCCCGAACCAUGCCAUAGCCAUGUUCCAUUUCCUUCCAGCUAGGAUUUUCAUUUUAUCCUUCUCCUCCAGUAAGGCUGGGACCUGCUCACAUCCCUCUACACCCCAAGAGCAUGCUCUUCAAUGGAAGGUGUGUUGAAGUGAGAUGUAUCACUGGAGAUGCAGGGGAAGAUGGUGGCUGCAGGAGAAAUAACCAGUGCUAUCGUUAUCUCCUGAAAAGGAGAGGCCGGUGGAGCUGAGAAGACAAGAAAAUUACUCACAGCCGAGCAGAGAGACAGAUACAUGCUUACAUGAGCACUGUGGGACUGCCAUCUAGAGAGUCAAGUGACAUCUGCCUGGGCAAAUGAGGUUUGCCUAAGAGACUCUUGCACAGUCAAGAAGAAUCACCUGGGAAGGAAAUGAAGAAGGAGCUAUCACAGGAUGAACACAGGGAAGAUGAUGCUUUGGAAUGCCUGCUACUGGAUUCAGCUCUUACUGGGUACCAGACUCCAUGUUAAAUGUUUUACAACAGUCAUUAAGUAAGUACUAACAAAAUCACAUGACAU